UGGGGGAUAUUGCACAAUGGGCGAAAGCCUGAUGCAGCGACGCCGCGUGGGGGAUGAAGGCUUUCGGGUUGUAAACCUCUUUCGCUAUCGAACAAGGCCCGCUUAGGGUGGGUUGAGGGUAGGUGGAGAAGAAGCGCCGGCUAACUACGUGCCAGCAGCCGCGGUAAUACGUAGGGCGCGAGCGUUGUCCGGAAUUAUUGGGCGUAAAGGGCUUGUAGGCGGCUUGUUGCGCCUGCUGUGAAAACGCGGGGCUUAACGUCGCGCGUGCAGUGGAUACGGGCAGGCUUGAGUGUGGUAGGGGUGACUGGAAUUCCAGGUGUAGCGGUGGAAUGCGCAGAUAUCUGGAGGAACACCGAUGGCGAAGGCAGGUCACUGGGCCAUUACUGACGCUGAGGAGCGAAAGCAUGGGUAGCGAACAGG
rnacentral:rRNA from 1 species